AUGGACAGACAGACAAACCUAGGCCCUGCUAGGUAAACUGAAGAAUAUAUUUUCUUAAGAUAGUUAUUCUGAAAAGCAUUAUGAACUUUGAUAUCACAAAGCAGACAAUAGCUGGGGUAGCCUAGGAUACGUGUUCUUUGAGGCACUUUGUUGCCACAUUGAAAUUGUUUCAGCAAAAAAAUGAAGGAAUGUCAUAUUUUACAACAAAAUGUUGUCUAAAAUGACUGGAAAGGCUUACAGUAAUUAUCAGUUUUAUCCUGUAUGGCAACAUUCCAGAUAUUUUCCUGUUGUAUUUUCUUUCAGGAGUCCUCAAGAUUGUCAUCUGUAACACAUAGCUGUAUAGGAACUGUUGAAUCAUGGCCUGAACCUCUGAUUGAUCACCUGAGGCAAGCACUGAGUCAGCCCUGGGGCGCAGGUGAAGACAAUUCUCCUAGACCCCAUUUAAGGGCUGACUGCCACUGAGGAAGGAUCUCUCUCUAGAGAUUGCUCCCCUUGGACCUUUUUCUGUGAGCCCAGGACACGGGAGUUGUCCCUUCAGCUAUGAACACCCUGUAUCACUGCACUCAUUUUAGAAGAAAAGAAAUACCUGCACAGAAUGAAUCCAGACUCACCGUACCCAUCUCCACAGCUGUGACGUCUGGUUCCACUCCCUCAGCCCAGUAGAUCAGAUUGCCUAAAGCCCCAUCCAACCUGGCCUUGAACACUUGCAGGGAUGGGGCAGCUUCUCUGUGCCACUGUCUCACAACUCUCACAGUGAAGAAUUUAUCCCUGUCAUCUCAUCUGAACAUAUCAUCUUGUAAUUUAAAGCCAUUACCCUCAGAUCAGUUCAAACUGAUCAUCAUACCUAACUGAACUCAGAAGAACUUCUUCAGCUGCGUUUAGCUUUGAACAUCACUGCCCUAUUUAGAAGCUGAAGAAAGGACUGAGAGUUCUCCCUUCUGUAGCCAUUGGUCUGUGGAAGAUGUUCCUCCUCCCUUCCUUUUGUCCUUGGACUUUUAUGGUGAUAAGAACUAUUGUCAGAGAAAUGACAUUGUUUGGGAUGACAUCAUUUGAAUGAUUGCUCUUCCUCUGUUUCAUUUUUAGGUUGUACUUAGUGUCAGUAACAGACUUAAGCUUUACUAACGCUGAAUCCCAAGUGCAGCGGAAGUCAAGGCUGUGAGGUUAGGAUAACUGGCUAACCAUUACCUCUGAGGAUCAGCAAGAGGCUGCUGGGUUUCCUGCGUGGAAACUCUACAGAAAAACUAACAUAGAUUUGAGUCUGAUGAAAGAAGAAAAAGCCCAGAUUACUAGCACAGUACUGAAGAGAAAUGGAAUAGUAGUAAAUAACUUCCAGAGGGCAUUUACUUGAAAACUGCUGGCCCAGAAUUGGGUAAAAUGAAGGGAUUCAUGUAUGCAGGACUUAUUGGCCUGGAGGAGCUGUGAAGCUGCUGUGUCUCCUCUUUCAGGGCCACCUUCAGCACAAAGGUUUCCUGGGUGUCUCCAAGCUGCUGGUGUGGCCUUCACUGUCCCUAGAGGUGCAUGUAUGUCAUGCCUGGUGUGGAUCAGAGAAGUGGGCUCCUCUUGCUCUGUACUGCUGAGCACCUACGUGAUUCAUAUUGGUCUAUGGGAUGUAGCUGUCCUCCUUACGCACAAUGACUGUGAUGGCAGCUGCCUUCAGACGGGCUGGGAGAAGACACUGAAGUAUAUGAGUUGCAUGAUUACACCUUUCUCCUCUUCCAGUCCACAGCAAGUUUGAAUUGAGAAACGUAACAUUUGCCUGCUUCACUUACACCAUGUCCUAACUGAAACAAGGAAAUCCCAUGCAAUUGCCCUUCUUCAUCUCAUCAGUUUGGUUGUUUGAAACUAAUAUCAGACACUACUAGUUUUGAUAGCACAUACUGUAGUGGGGCCAGAGACUGUUCAUCAGAAAAUGGACUGUGAGCAAAUCAUGUCAAGUGACUCCUGGUGAGGUGCUAUAUAACAAUAACUCUCUCUCAAUUACUCUACUGAGAAGAGUUAGAGGACAGAAAUGUGCAAACCUAUAAGGUACCAUUGAGAGAAAGAAACACAGCUCCUCUGAGAUUUCUUCUUUGUCCUGGAUGAAAUCUUCAUUAAUGCUUUGAUAGACUAGAUAUAAAGUCUGAGCGAUUUCUCUUUAUGGACCAGAUCUCCAAUUCUUGUUUUAUGAGUUUCCUCCCAGGCAGAGCUGCUUGGGCUGCUUCAUUAGCGUCUUGUCAGAAAAACAGUUGGGAGGACAUUAAUCUGAAGCUCAAAUGCCAUGUCGGUGAGCAAGCAGGGGGCUGUGCUGCAGAUUUCAGAAUGUACUUGGUGGAAGAAAUGCAAAGACAUCUUUUAUCGGUGAGAGAAUCUUAAAGUUUUACGUAUAAACAUUUCAGUCCUUUAUUUACAUACGAUCUUAAAAUAGUUUACAGUAGGUGCCAUCUGUGAAGGACUCUUUGUUAAUCUCAUGCUGUGGAUAAAUGUGUUAGAACAAAACUUUACUUUCAUAGCAAAUAUGUGGAUUCUAACUUAUGAAUUAGUUAGGCAAGUGAAGAGAAAGGCAACUCCUCCGGGAGCUAAUGACAGCAAGGCAUUUUUGGAGCCCCACCCAGAGUGCAGAACACAUUGCUUAGUAGCAGUGCACAGUGGGAGAGCCCUUUUUAUUGGCAUGCAAAAAAUUGUAAUUUUUGCCUGCAAUUAUCAUCUAUGUGAAGUCACUUCCUCUCACCACAGUGCAAUAAAUCAGUGUGCUCAGGAAACUGAUGUGGGUUAAAAUCAUAGAAUUGUUUGAGGGGCAUUUAAAGGCCAUCUGAUCCAACUCUCCUGCAAUGAACAGG